AGCGAACGCUGGCGGCAGGCUUAACACGUGUAAGUCGAGCGGGCAUAGCAAUAUGUCAGCGGCAGACGGGUGAGUAACGCGUGGGAACGUACCUUUUGGUUCGGAACAACACAGGGAAACUUGUGCUAAUACCGGAUAAGCCCUUACGGGGAAAGAUUUAUCGCCGAAAGAUCGGCCCGCGUCUGAUUAGCUAGUUGGUGAGGUAAUGGCUCACCAAGGCGACGAUCAGUAGCUGUCUGAGAGGAUGAUCAGCCACAUUGGGACUGAGACACGGCCCAAACUCCUACGGGAGGCAGCAGUGGGGAAUAUUGGACAAUGGGCGCAAGCCUGAUCCAGCCAUGCCGCGUGAGUGAUGAAGGCCCUAGGGUUGUAAAGCUCUUUUGUGCGGGAAGAUAAUGACGGUACCGCAAGAAUAAGCCCCGGCUAACUUCGUGCCAGCCGCCGCAGUAA
rnacentral:rRNA from 1 species